AACGAACGCUGGCGGCAUGCCUAAUACAUGCAAGUCGAACGCUGCAACUUGGUGCUUGCACCGAGCGGAUGAGUUGCGAACGGAUGAGUAACGCGUAUGUAACCUACCUGAUAGCGGGGUAUGACUAUUUCAAACGAUAGCUAAUACCCCAUAAGAGUACAUGUUGAAAUACAUUUGCUUAAAAUGUGCAAUUUCACCACUACAAGGUGGACCUGCGUUUUAUUUGCUAGUUGGUGGGGUAGCGGCUCACCAAGGGGUCGAUACAUAGCCGGCCUGAGAGGGUGAGCGGCCACACUGGGACUGGAGCACGGCCCAGACCCCUGCGGGAGGGAGCAGGAGGGAAUCCUCGGGAAUGGACGGAAGGCUGACCGAGCAACGCCGCGUGAGUGAAGAAGGUUGUCGGAUCGUGAAAGUCGGUAGUACGAGAGGAACGAGUGUGAGUGUGGAAAGGUCAGAUUGUGACGGUACCUUACCAAAAAGCGACGGCUAACUACGUG
rnacentral:rRNA from 1 species